AUUGAACGCUGGCGGCAGGCCUAACACAUGCAAGUCGAACGAGCGGCGGACGGGUGAGUAAUGUCUGGGAAACUGCCCGAUGGAGGGGGAUAACUACUGGAAACGGUAGCUAAUACCGCAUACUAUCGGAUGUGCCCAUAUGGGAUUAGCUAGUAGGUGGGGUAAAGGCUCACCUAGGCCACGAUCCCUAGCUGGUCUGAGAGGAUGAUCAGCCAAACUGGGACUGAGACACGGCCCAGACUCCUACGGGAGGCAGCAGUGGGGAAUAUUGGACAAUGGGCGAAAGCCUGAUGCAGCAAUGCCGCGUGUAUGAAGAAGGCCUUAGGGUUGUAAAGUACUGUCAUCGGGGAGGCGUUACCCGCAGAAGAAGCAACGGCUAACUACGUGCCAGCAGCCGCGGUAAUAC
rnacentral:rRNA from 1 species